rnacentral:rRNA from 1 species
UGGAGCAAUCCAUGAGUACAGUGGCGUACGGGUGAGUAACACGUGGGUGAUCUACCUUUUAGUGAGGAAUAACCGAGGGAAACUUUGGCUAAUACCGCAUAAGCCCGAGAGGGGAAAGCAGAAAUGCGCUGAAAGAGGAGCCCGCGGCCGAUUAGCUAGUUGGUGGGGUAAGAGCCCACCAAGGCAGAGAUCGGUAGCCGGCCUGAGAGGGCACACGGCCACACUGGCACUGAAACACGGGCCAGACUCCUACGGGAGGCAGCAGUGGGGAAUCUUGCACAAUGGGGGAAACCCUGAUGCAGCGACGCCGCGUGAGCGAUGAAGCCCUUCGGGGUGUAAAGCUCUUUCGUCAGGGAAGAUAGUGACGGUACAUGGAGAAGCAGCUGCGGCUAACUACGUGCCAGCAGCCGCGGUAAUACGUAGGCAGCAAGCGUUGUUCGGAGUUACUGGGCGUAAAGGGUGUGUAGGCGGUUCCUUAAGUUUGCUGUGAAAUCUCCCGGCUUAACCGGGAGGGUGCGGUGAAUACUGAGGGACUAGAGUACGGGAGAGGAAAGUGGAAUUCCUGGUGUAGCGGUGAAAUGCGUAGAUAUCAGGAGGAACACCGGUGGUGUAGACGGCUUUCUGGACCGUAACUGACGCUGAGACACGAAAGCGUGGGUAGCAAACAGGAUUAGAUACCCUGGUAGUCCACGCCCUAAACGAUGCAUAUUUGGUGUGGGCAGUUCAUUCUGUCCGUGCCGGAGCUAACGCGUUAAAUAUGCCGCCUGGGGAGUACAGUCGCAAGGCUGAAACUC